rnacentral:rRNA from 1 species
CUAAUACAUGCAAGUCGAACGCGUCUUGGUUAUUGAUGUUAGAUGCUUGCAUUUAACUGAUUUAACAUUGAGACGAGUGGCGAACUGGUGAGUAACACGUGGGUAACCUGCCCUUGAAGUAGGGGAUAACACUUGGAAACAGGUGCUAAUACCGUAUAACAACCAAAACCACCUGGUUUUGGUUUAAAAGAUGGCUUCGGCUAUCACUUUAGGAUGGACCCGCGGCGUAUUAGCUUGUUGGUAAGGUAACGGCCUACCAAGGCAAUGAUACGUAGCCGACCUGAGAGGGUAAUCGGCCACAUUGGGACUGAGACACGGCCCAAACUCCUACGGGAGGCAGCAGUAGGGAAUCUUCCACAAUGGACGAAAGUCUGAUGGAGCAACGCCGCGUGAGUGAUGAAGGGUUUCGGCUCGUAAAACUCUGUUGUUGGAGAAGAACAGGUGUGAGAGUAACUGUUCACAUCUUGACGGUAUCCAACCAGAAAGCCACGGCUAACUACGUGCCAGCAGCCGCGGUAAUACGUAGGUGGCAAGCGUUGUCCGGAUUUAUUGGGCGUAAAGCGAGCGCAGGCGGUUUCUUAGGUCUGAUGUGAAAGCCUUCGGCUUAACCGGAGAAGUGCAUCGGAAACCAGGAGACUUGAGUGCAGAAGAGGACAGUGGAACUCCAUGUGUAGCGGUGAAAUGCGUAGAUAUAUGGAAGAACACCAGUGGCGAAGGCGGCUGUCUGGUCUGUAACUGACGCUGAGGCUCG